rnacentral:sRNA from 1 species
UACACGACUCUGCCCGUCCGCCACAGGGAC